rnacentral:rRNA from 1 species
UACGUAGGGUGCAAGCGUUGUCCGGAAUUAUUGGGCGUAAAGAGCUCGUAGGCGGUCUGUUGCGUCGGCUGUGAAAACCCGGGGCUCAACUCCGGGCCUGCAGCCGAUACGGGCAGACUAGAGUUCGGCAGGGGAGACUGGAAUUCCUGGUGUAGCGGUGAAAUGCGCAGAUAUCAGGAGGAACACCGGUGGCGAAGGCGGGUCUCUGGGCCGAUACUGACGCUGAGG